UACGGAGGGGGCAAGCGUUGUCCGGAUUUAUUGGGCGUAAAGGGCGCGUAGGCGGUCAGCACAAGUCAGUUGUGAAAUCUCCGGGCUUAACUCGGAAAGGUCAACUGAUACUGUGCGACUAGAGUGCGGAAGGGGCAACUGGAAUUCUCGGUGUAGCGGUGAAAUGCGUAGAUAUCGAGAGGAACACCUGCGGCGAAGGCGGGUUGCUGGGCCGACACUGACGCUGAUGCGCGAAAGCCAGGGAGCGAAGCGGG
rnacentral:rRNA from 1 species